UGGGGAAUUUUGGACAAUGGGGGCAACCCUGAUCCAGCAAUGCCGCGUGUGUGAAGAAGGCCUUCGGGUUGUAAAGCACUUUUGUCCGGAAAGAAAACGUCGUGGUUAAUACCCGUGGCGGCUGACGGUACCGGAAGAAUAAGCACCGGCUAACUACGUGCCAGCAGCCGCGGUAAUACGUAGGGUGCAAGCGUUAAUCGGAAUUACUGGGCGUAAAGCGUGCGCAGGCGGUCCGCUAAGACAGACGUGAAAUCCCCGGGCUUAACCUGGGAACUGCAUUUGUGACUGGCGGGCUAGAGUAUGGCAGAGGGGGGUAGAAUUCCACGUGUAGCAGUGAAAUGCGUAGAGAUGUGGAGGAAUACCGAUGGCGAAGGCAGCCCCCUGGGCCAAUACUGACGCUCAUGCACCGAAAAGCGUGGGGGAGCAAACAGGAUUAGAUACCCUGGUAGUCCACGCCCUAAACGAUGUCAACUAGUUGUCGGGUCUUAUUGACUUGGUAACGUAGCUAACGCGUGAAGUUGACCGCCUGGGGAGUACGGUCG
rnacentral:rRNA from 1 species